UGGCGAUGGCGUCGCUCCUCCUCCUCCCUGAGUGGCGCCAGCUAUACCAAGGCCCUUCCUCCUCCCUCGGGCCGAGGUUAGAAACGGCGGUGCCCCUCCUCCUCCCCGGGCGCCGCCGUUUU
rnacentral:sRNA from 19 species